CUCUGCAUCAAGGUCAGCAUGAUAGCACUGUCUCUCUAUGCUUAGGGAGAGGCCUGUCCCGUACAUCCCGUGCCCCCGCAAGACGCCUACUACAACACUGGAUAAAUUUCUAUUCAGAUGCAACUCAGGAUUACAGUUCAAGAUGGAGUAAGAGACUCACACCCAGAAAAAGAGGUGGUGAAAGUGACUGUUCAGACCUCCCGUUGCUGAGUUUCAGAAGAACGGAAUGUAGAAAACAAAGGAUAAAAUUUAAAAGGUCUUGCCUUGCUUAUAUCAUCAGUGCACUGCCAUUACAUCACCCACAGUAUGGGAACACUUCAUGAUUCACUGACUACUAAGUAUGAAAGGUGGACCAUUUUUUUUCCAGCAGCUGGCUGCUUUUCAAGGGUGCGACUGCUUUUUGCCCCCUGCAGAUGAUAAGCAGGCAGGCAUGCUGGCAGGACUCACAGGAGCCAGCUGUGACCUUGCCUUUGUGGCUGUUGGCUCUGCCUGCAGGAGACCUGCAGCUCUGCUGGAUGCCUGCUGAAUCCCUGUGGUCUCGCCAGAAUGUUUAUCCAUGAUGCUGCGGCUCCUGCUUCAUGACCAUGCUCCACGUCACCCACAAUCAGACUGUGUGCUGUCCCUGCUUCCUGAGCUGUUGAUCCAAGGAUCUGUAAAAUGACAGAAUUAGCCUUUUGUGGGAAGAGCAGGUAAUGGAUGAGACAAAUGAAUUCCAUCCUUCAUCCUCCCAGGAAGAGUAGAAGAAUCUCCACUAAUGUACUAGAUAAUGUACAGAUAAUUUUGUAGGUUGGAGUCUAAUGUCAGCACUGCCAUUUUGAUGGACCAUUAUGUUCCUCAUACCCUUUUGUGGAGCCUUUCAGAUCUGCUUUUCGUAGUUACAAAUACAGAACUCUGUAACCUGGAGGAGUGGCAGCAAGGGAUCUGCUCCAGCUCUGAGCACAGGGUUAUGCCCUUUACACAGAGAAAAGCAAGAAGCAUAAAACAUACAACUCUGAUUGAUUUCUCCACUCAGGCUUUGUCACUGUUCACAGAAGCAGCCAUACUGAACAGAAAUGUACACAAUCUGAACCUACCUGUCACACAUAUGUGUUCUUAGUAUAAAAGCAGAAAUUAAUAUUUUGUCCUCUUGUCCUAUCAAAUGUAUCUUAUCAUCUGCCCAUCAUUUGCUGAAAUGUCCUGCUGAAUGUGUAAGCAGGCCCAUCAUCCUGUACCAACAGGGAUGCUGGGCUUUCUUGCCAUUAUUAUUAUUAUGGAUGCACUGUGUUUGCACUGUGAGUAAAGAGCUCACACAAAAUCAAAUGACUGCUUUCAGACACAGAUAACAGAAACAAGCAAACAAACAAACAAACAAAAACAACCAACACUGAUUAUGCUGUAUGUAUUUAUCUGCAGCUUCCCUGAAGCCAGGAUGGCUUCACUCAGCUGUCACUUCCUUAGGCUGAUUUGCGGGACUGUGCAGGCUAUAGCAUUUCUAAUGGCAUAGUUUGCAAGUGAAUGCAUCUGUGGUACGUUCUUCAAGACACGUUCUUCAUUUUGAGAUCUGGGUGGGUUUUUUUUUUUUUUAUUUAAUCAUCCUUUAACUCCCACACGUUCUCAUUGUAUAUAUGCUUGCAAAUUUCCCAGCAGAAGAAUAAAACUCCACUGGAGCAUAUUGUACUUUUAAAUGCUGUGAAGAAAACAGAACCCUUUCCGCAUUGUGCUGCUGCUAUCAUUAGUAACACCGAGACAACAGAGACCUGUGAGAAGCGAGGCUUCUAACACCCCCUGAAGAAUGCCCUCACUGCUUAUUCAGGCCUUUCCAUUCUUUCUAGCAACGGCUCAAAAUUCAAGCACAAAUCAUCCCAAAGCACGCCGGAGCCCAGGGGUGCAGGAUGAGCGGCCAGGUAAGCCACACUGCCCUGCUUUCUAUGAGCAGUGUGUGGUGGCUGAGCACAAUCUGAGUGCCCAUGCCCCGGGC
rnacentral:lncRNA from 1 species